rnacentral:rRNA from 1 species
CCUACGGGGGGCAGCAGUGGGGAAUCUUGCGCAAUGGGCGAAAGCCUGACGCAGCGACGCCGCGUGAGUGAUGAAGGCCUUCGGGUUGUAAAGCUCUGUGGGGAGAGAAGAAUAAGUCGUAGUGAAUAUCUACGAUGAUGACGGUAUCUCCUUAGCAAGCACCGGCUAACUCUGUGCCAGCAGCCGCGGUAAGACAGAGGGUGCAAACGUUGUUCGGAAUUACUGGGCGUAAAGCGUGUGUAGGCGGUGAGGUAAGUCAGGUGUGAAAUCCCACGGCUCAACCAUGGAAGUGCACUUGAUACUGCUUCGCUUGAGUACUGGAGAGGUUGGUGGAAUUCCUGGUGUAGAGGUGAAAUUCGUAGAUAUCAAGAGGAACACCGGUGGCGAAGGCGGCCAACUGGACAGAUACUGACGCUGAGACACGAAAGCGCGGGGAGCAAACAGGAUUAGAUACCCCAGUAGUC